AUGGAACCAGAGAUUACGGGCCACCGUCUCCACCCAGGCUGCACCUUGGUGCUCAAAGCCGACGGCGACGCCUUCAACUGUGCCGCCUGCAUGCGCGAGAGCUCCCAGGCCUACCGGUACAGCUGCGAGCAUCUGGACCUCCAUGGCCAGUGCGUGACGUCGCCUGACUCCUUCUCCUUCUGGGGCCAUCCGCACCACCCUCUGGAGCUGGUGAACUCCGGCCCGGACCUGGCAGCAACCCUGCGGUCCACCAGACCGGAUGUCGCCAAGGCCCUCGUGGCCUCCUCUCCGGCAGCCGACGGCCGCAUCCCAGUCUACUGCAACAUGUGCACCAACGAGAUUCGGGGCAUGCACUACCGGUGCGCGCCGUGCGGCGUGUUCAUGCACCCGGUCUGCGUGCAGCUCCCAGUCACGGUGCGCAGCGCGGCGCACCCGGAGCACGAGCUCACGCUCAUCUGCUCGUGGCCGUCCAUGUGCGUCGCGUGCACCACGCCGAGCACCUGGGCAUACCGGUGCUUCCGCUGCCUCCUCCUCCGCGGCUUCCAUGCCAACUGCAUCCCGGAAUAUCACCACUUGCUGGGCGCACCCUACUCCGCCGGCGACGACCCGAACGGCGUCCCCGACCGCACGAGGCGGUUCGGAAUCAUCCUCCGGCCUAACCCGCCACCGCCCCCGAAGAUGUUCGUGGACCAGGGGGAUCCCUUCGUCGGCAUGAACCCGCUUGGAAUCAUGGACCCGUUCAACAUGCCGAGGCGUGGGCCGAGCGACGCUCCAAGCGUCCAGCCGGACCCAUGCGGCGGAGCCUUCCCUUUCAGCGGCGAGUACGGCCGCUCCACGUUCGCACAGUAA
rnacentral:rRNA from 1 species